rnacentral:rRNA from 1 species
UACGAAGGGGGCUAGCGUUGUUCGGAAUUACUGGGCGUAAAGGGCGCGUAGGCGGUACUUCAAGUCAGGCGUGAAAGCCCCGGACUCAACCUGGGAACCGCGCUUGAGACUGGAGAACUAGAGUUCGGGAGAGGAUGGUGGAAUUCCCAGUGUAGAGGUGAAAUUCGUAGAUAUUGGGAAGAACACCGAUGGCGAAGGCAGCCAUCUGGACCGACACUGACGCUGAGGCGCGAAAGCGUGGGGAGCAAACAGG